AUGAGUCAGCCCACUCCUCUCCUCCACGGCGUGUGACUGGCAAGGAAACGAAUCUCCGCAGCAGGGCAAGGUGCUGGAAAACAUCACAUGUCGACACAGGCCAGCACUCUCGUGUGACAGAAGCCGGCAGCUGACAACGGGAGGCAGAAGUGCCAAGUUGCCCAACCUGAAUUUCAGAACCCAGAAGCGAGCCCAUGGAACAGUGUGCCCCUGGGGACACACUGUGGCCACCCCGAGUUGGAAACAGGCUGCUGGUGAUGCACAGGCACGUACUCUGCUGGGAACACUGCUGACUACACAGAGGAAACUGAAGUUUCUGGGCCCAUUGUAGUAGCCAGAAGGCGGGAACUGCCGGGGUGUGAGGACACAGUGUGUGCAGACCUGAGCACGCGGGGAGCUCCACAGGCAUCCAGCCUUCCCCUUCACACACGCACACUUCC
rnacentral:lncRNA from 1 species